GAUGAACGCUGGCGGCGUGCCUAACACAUGCAAGUCGAGCGGGAUCUUAAGUAAUGAAGCUUCGGUAGAUUUAGUUAAGUGAGAGCGGCGGACGGGUGAGUAACGCGUAGGCAACCUGCCCUUUGCAGAGGGACAGCCAUUGGAAACGAUGAUUAAAACCUCAUAAUGCCAAGAGUUCACAUGGACAUUUGGCCAAAGAUUUAUCGGCAAAGGAUGGGCCUGCGUCUGAUUAGCUAGUUGGUGGGGUAACGGCCUACCAAGGCGACGAUCAGUAGCCGACCUGAGAGGAUGAACGGCCACAUUGGGACUGAGAUACGGCCCAGACUCCUACGGGAGGCAGCAGUGGGGAAUAUUGGGCAAUGGGGGAAACCCUGACCCAGCAACGCCGCGUGAAGGAAGAAGGCCCUCGGGUUGUAAACUUCUUUUACCAGGGAUGAAGAAAGUGACGGUACCUGGAGAAAAAGCAACGGCUAACUACGUG
rnacentral:rRNA from 1 species